UGACCAGCAGAGUAGGGGAUAUACCAUGAUCACGAAGGUGGAUUUCCCAAGCAAGGCUUAUCCAUUGCACUCUGGAUGUGCUGACCCCUGUGAUUUUUCCAAAUGAGGGAAGCUCAACAGCAUAAUUUGUGGUAGUGAGGAACUGCGAUUGUGUUCUCCCAUG
rnacentral:snRNA from 1 species